AUUUAAUGUUUACUUUUCAGGAAUUACCCAACUCUGUCUUUCUGGUGAUGGAGUACUGCAAUGGUGGAGACCUGGCAGAUUAUUUGCAAGCUAAAGGAACUCUCAGUGAAGAUACUAUUAGGGUGUUUCUGCAUCAGGUCGCAGCUGCCAUGCGGAUUCUGCACAGCAAAGGAAU